GGUGAGGUGGCCGAGUGGUUAUGGCGCAAGUUUCAGGUACUUGUGGGUAACAGUCAGUCAAUAUCCAUAUCUAACAAACGAGAGUAAUUCUAACAGUUCCUAGCCGCGUGGGUUCGAAUCCCACCCUCAUCA
rnacentral:tRNA from 1 species